rnacentral:lncRNA from 1 species
UCGCUGUCAAGCCAGCUUUUUAUAGCUUCCCAUUUGUUAUCCUCGUUUGAUGGCAGUGAUAACAACGGAGGCAACAGGCCUACCGGAACCACAGGUUUCUGGUAAAGCUUGAUAAGCAAUUUAAUCGCGUCCCGUUCGAACUCGAAGCAGGUGCGCAUGGUUACAAAUUGGCAACCUUGAAUCAGUCGUCCAAUCCGUUGGAAAUCAGACACGUCGUCAUCCAUGCACUGUUGGUGGUUCACCAUCUCAUGUAGCUUGAAAGCUAUGUUGUUGCAAGGAUAAUCUAUCCACUCAGGGAUGACCGUGAAAUCUUCCGGUCGUUUCCGGCGAUCACCGAGCAAAGCUGAUGGUGGACCUAAGAAAGCAAACGUGCUGGCAUUGAAUAUGCUGAAGAAAACCAAGUUGACGCCUAAUGGAGCUGCAAUACCAGGUAACCAGUAAGGUGCAAAAUCAUGGAUUAUCCAGUUGACGUUUGAGUUUUUGAGGAAGUCAGUUAAAGGGUCUCGAAGCUUGUCGUAUGCCCUUUUAAGGUAAGGGACUUUGUCGAUUGGUACCUCAGAAGUGGCCUCAACUCCUGGAGGUAAGCCAUGCACAUGGGGAAGAGAAAACUCGACGAAACUUAAGUUAGAGGACAGAUGUGGGGGAAGUUUAGGGAGGCGACUAAUAUUUUUAGGGGUGGAAAUAUAGGAUAUUCGAUGACCCUUUUGAGCCAAGAAUUUGGAAACCUCGAGAAACGGCAUUGUAUGACCAUAAGCUAGCCAUGGGAACAUAGCUAUGUGAAGCUUUUCUGUUCUGUCCAUGGCGGUUUUGGGGUGCAGAUUGCAAAAGACAAAAUACGUUUUAAUUGGGAAUCAGAAAAUGAAAUUCAAGAGGGUAUUAUAUAUAUUUACUUGUGGGGAUAUUUUGCUGUGUGGUCUUGCACCGCUGGAACUUUUUAAAUGUAAAAAAAUUAUAAAAAAAUUUAAAAAAUUAUUUUAAAAAAUUAUAAAAAAAAUUAAAAUAGGAUAAAAGUUAUAAAUUUAUAAAAUUACAAAAAAAUAUAAAAAGGAAUAUAAGUAUAUUUUUUAUUUGAUUUUAGGAUAUAAUAAAUUAAAUACUAAUUUUUUAAUAAAAUAUAACUAAUAUUAAAAAUAUUAAUUAAUUAAACAAAUAAAAACAAAGGAAGAAACUGAAACUUAUCUUCGUCGGUGGGGGAGGUACCUUCAAAUAUUUAAUUUUUUUGUGUGCAGGUUUGGGGAUCAAACCAAACUAACCGCUUGUAUACUGUUUUAAAAAAAAUUGUAUUUUGGUUUUAAAUACGAAUACUGCCGAUUGGUCGGGCAUCACCAUUUCGCUAUUCCUUCUACCUAUUUCCGUAAAUAUUGAUUCAUUUAUCCUAUUAUGGUAUUUAUUUAUUUAUUUUAUAUUAUUUAUGAAAAAAAACCCUCAUUCUUUAUUAGAGGAUAGUUCUAUCAAAUGUCAUAUAAAACUCAAAUGCAUUAAGAAGGGUUGAAUUAUUACAAAUUUGAAGAAAGAAGACAAAUAAAAAAUGACACAAUGAUUUAGGUCAGUUUGACUCCAAUUGUCUACAUCCACUACCUUACCUCCCCACAGUUAAAGAAUUCUCAAAUUUAUUAAUUUGAAACCUUUUAGGAAUAAUGUUUAACCUUUACAACUUUGUCAUUUAAGUGGGCAAGCUAGAGCCAGUUUCUGAGGUUUUCUGUCUAAAAUCUUAAGUAACCACUUAUAAAAUUGAGAAAUGAAAACGGAACGAGGAAUACCUCUCAAAGGUUGAUAUUCAAGGCCAUUCAAAUAAAUUACAACACUUGAAAUAAUGAAAAAGAAUGAAACCCCGAGUGUGUAUAAAAAUAAGAUGAGACUUUCAAAUGAAAGAUUGAAUUUUUGCACAAUAAGCUUUGUAAACUUGUUUCUUGUCUUAUUCUUGAUGUUCUUGAACUCUAUUUAUAUCAUCUCAAAUGAUUUCUAGCCUUUUGAAGUAGUCAGAGGGAAAAUUGAGCCAUUGACAAUAUUUACUCGGCAUAAAAUGUAGUUGCAGGGGCUUAUGUUUUGGUAUAUGUAGUUCCAAUACCUCUAUAUUGGGGUUUGGUACUCCUAAAUUCUCACAAAACAAUUUUGCUUGACAUGUACAUGACCAAAGAAGGCAGAGGCCCGAUACAUAGUCAUAUGUAUCGGCAAUUAGGCCAAGGAGUUUGAUACUUUGAAGUCAGUAGCUUAUAGAUUUAAUGUGUUUUGAUACCCUUAAUAAUGCAUCGGAAUACACCUUAAGCUUUGUCAAAAUUUACUUGGUACAAGCCCAUUUUUUGCCCUAAUGGGUAAUUUGCGCCUUUGGUCCCUCCAAUCCUGUGGCGCAUUCAAGGCAGCCUUUUAUUUCAUUUAAUUUUGGCCACAUAAUUUGGUGCCUAUUCCAACCUAGUCCUGCGCAAAACGAUGCGCAUAAGGGACGGAGAAUUUUCACAAUCGGUCCCUUGAUUUUGAGCACGUUUCAUUUCAGUCAUCGGCAAUCCCUUUUUAUUUAUUUACAGUUUGGACCCCCGGAUUUUGGUUUGAUUUUAAUUUCAUCCUUUAGUUCAUUUAGUUUUUUUUUUUUAAGAAAAAGGGAGUUCCUCCAUUAUUUAUUUUAAGUUAUGUAUACAUAUAUAUAUUAUUUACCUAAUAUCUUUCUUAUUAUUUGUAUUAUUUGAUUUAAGUCAUUAUAUAUACACGCACAUGCAUUUUGUAAUUCAUAUAUAUAUAUAUAUAUAUAUAUAUUUAUUUAUUUUAUUUUUUGUAAUUUUAAAAUAUAUGUAUAUACAUACACAUAUUCUCAUUUUUCUUUUAUAUAGUUUUAUAUUUUUUUAUUUUUUUUAUAUUCAUUGUUUUUUUUUUCUGUUUAUGGGGAUAAUUUAUCAUUUGUUUUGAAGUAUCUUUAUAAAUCAUUUAUUUUGAGCCAUUGGUUUCUUAAAUUAAUUUAUAUAUUGUUUCGUUUUGUUCAUUUUAGUUAUUGAUAUUUGUACUCGACGUAUGGUGUAAUUAUUGUCAUUAUGUGUAUUAUUUCGUUUAUUCGUAUUUCCAUGCUAUGGUAAUUCAUUCGUGUACCCUGUUGUUUGAUAACUUGUUUCUCCUUGUUGUAAAUUGUCAUUCCAUCAACACAACCCUUUUUUCACACGCUAUUUCAAACGUUACGUUUAUUUUUACCCAAAUUUGUAAAAAGAAAAUUUCGAAAACAAGGCAAUAUCUUGCGUUUGGAAAUUCGAGAAAACGUACCCUAACUUAUUAGGUCUCGAUUGUCUCGUUAAACCUAAAUAGCAAAAUAUCCGUUUAAAUUUCCAAACACACAAAAUUUCAAAAAAUAAAGGUAAUAUUCUAUAUUUAGAAAAUUCGAGAAAUUGUGCCCUAACUUACUGGGCUUCGAUUUUUUCUCGUUGAUUCUAAGUAUCCGAAUAUCCUUUUAAAAUUAAAAUAAAUGAGGUUUAAAUAAAAAAUAAAAAGGCAAGCUUACUCUCAAAAUACGAGGUGCCGUGUCCUAACUUACUGGAUGUGACAUCUUGUUAAUUCGAGAUAAGAAGACAUUUUUCAUUUUGAUUUAUUCGAGUAAUUUUUAAAAUAACACAAUAUAAAUAGGGAUUGUAUUUUUAAAUUCUUUUCGAGUUUUUAGUUUUCGACACCAAGAUAUUAAGUAAUCAACUAGGUACCAAUUUUGGGCGUAUCGAGGGUGCUAACCCUUCCUCGUGCGGAAUCGACUCCUGAACUUGUUUUUUUUUUUAAUUUCAUGGACCAAAAUCGUUGUUUUAAUAAAAUCUAAAUCGUUUAUUAAAAACAACCGUUUUACGAGGUGACCCGAUCGCACCUCAUCAAAAAUGAUUGCUGGCGACUCCCCUUUUCGUUUUUAUUUUCAAAAUCCAAGUCGACCACGUUUUAGCAAAAAAAUGGUGUCAACAUAUACCAUACAUAUAUAUAAAAGAAAAGCUACAUACAUAAGUAAGUUUUUUUUUAAAAAAAUAAAUAAAUUACAUAUAAGUAAAAUCGAUUUAAAAUACAUACAUAAACAUAUUAAAAACACUUGAAAUCCAUAAUCUUAAUAAUAUCUAAUAUCAUAAUAUUAACAUAUAUAUUUUUUAAAAUAUUUAAUAAUUUAUGUGUAUAUGAAGAAUAGUAUUAUAUGAAAAAAUAUUAUUAUGUAAAUAUUCUAUAUAUAACAUAUUAAAAUGAUAAAUUUUAAAACAAAGGUAAAACAUCAAAACAUACAUAUAAGAUAUAACAAAUCGUCAAAAAAAUGUAUUGAUGAAUGAUAAAUUAAAUGGUAAAAUAUUAAUAUUUUCUUAAAACGUAUAAUGGAAAAACUAUUGUAUGAUGACUUUAAAAAAUAAAAUCAACAAUAUAAAAUAAUAACUUAUUAUAUUUUAAACUAUAAUAAUAAAAUAUAAAAAAAACAAAUACUAUCAAAAGCUAAAUAUUAAAAUAAUACUAAUUUUUUUUCAUAUAUGUCAAAACAUGAUUAAAUAUAUUUAAAAUCUAAUAUUAAAAGGAAAGAAAGGAAAACAAAAAAAACAUGCACUAAAUUGAAAUCUAACUUAAUGUUGCGGGACUAAGUUAGCAAUUAAACGCAAAAAAAAAAAUCAAAACCAAACACAGGAAACGGCAUCGUUUGACCAUGGAUCAAAUUGGAAUCAAAAUAAAAAAUAUGAUAAUAAUUUUAAAAAAUUUGAAAGGAACUGAAUUGAAAUGAAAGCCAGCAUGGAGGGAUUUAUCGCGCAAAUUUCCCCUUGAUUUUAAAAGGCGCGGAUCCUCACCGAAUCAAAUCGGAUCACCGGGUCAAGGCACCGAACAGUGUCGUUUUCGAAAACAUUUAAAAGCGAAAAAAACCUAAAUCUAAAGGUCUUUGUUUAGAAUGGCAGAAGAGAAGGGGAGCGCCGCUUUCGGCCUCUCACCCUCUGUCGCUUCAUGCCUCAAAUCUCCAUCCGACCCCGAUUGAGACGGAGCAGAAGGUAGAUCAGCCACCAGGUAACCUCGUUCUUAAACCUCUCUUUUUCUUUUGCUUAUUGUAUUCGUAAACAAAGAAACAAAAAAAAGAAAGAAAACAGUGAACAAAAAACGAAAAAAGAAAAAAAAUUGAAUAUACCUCUCAAAUCUUUUUGUUUUCUUUUAAUUUUUUUUGUAUUCAAUCCGUAAAAAAGGAAGAAGAAGCCCCCGUUACAGAAAAUGAAUCGGCUUUUUAUAGCCAAAGCCAAAAGAAAAGAAAAAUACAUAAUAAAGAAAACAAAAAUCCCUUCUCCUCUCUGUUCUUUUUUCUUUUUGCUCUUUUUUUCUGUUUUCUUUUUGUUGCUGGUUGUUUGUUUGUUUGCUGCGCAGGUACGGCGUACGGAGGCCAGCUGGAGGCGCGUGGAGGUACUACAUGCAUGGAAAGUGGCUCGACACGCGCGGAGGAUGGCCUUGGCGGCUGCGGCGCUGGAAGCUGUUGCUGCUAGGGUUUCUUUGAAACUAUUUUGGGCUUGUAUUGGGCUAACGGUUUGGGUAGUUUAGGUUAAAUGAUUUAGGGUUAUUGGGCUAGGCUAGUGGGUUAAAAUGAUUUGGGCCACGUUGGGCCCAUGUAUUUGGACUAUGGACUUUUAGAUUUUGGUUUGGUUUAUUUUAUUUUUUUAUAUUUAUUUCUGAUUUGGGCCGGGCAUAAAUUGGGUAUUACAACUUUUAUUUUAAAAAUGAUAAUGGAGUCGCCACCAAUCCUUUUUAUUAGGCAUGAUCGGAUCACCUCAUAAUUUGAUUAUUUUAAUAAAAUUUUAGAUUUAUUAAAACGAUGAUUUUCGGUUCACAAAGAAACCUAGGAAAUGGAUUCGGAAGUCGGUUGCGCACGAGAAAGGAUUAGCACCCUCGUAACGCCCAGAAUUGGUAACUAGUUGAUUAAUUGAUGUCUUAGUGUCGAGAAUUAAAAAUUUGAAGAGAAUUUAAAACAUGAUCCCACCUGACAUUAAAAUCACUUAAGUAAAUUAAACAUAUGUAAAAGGUCUUCUCAUCUCGAGGUAAACAAAAAUGUCUCGUCCCAUAAGUUAGGACACGACGUUUCGAAUCCUAAAAAAUAAGCUUGCUCAUUAUUUGAUUAUUAGUUAAAUCUCACAUGUUUUAGUUUUACAAGAGAUGUUCGAUUAUUUAGGUUCAAGGAGAAAGUCGAACCCCUUAAGUUACGACUUUCUCGAAUCUCCAAAUACGGAACAUCACCUAUAUUUUAAAAUUUCCUUCAUCGAGUAAUAACAAAUGUAAUAUUUAAAACAAUGUGUAUUUAUCUUAUUUGGGUAUAGUACAACAAUGGAUAAAUAUAUCUAAACACGAUCCGUGACAUGAUUGUAGCAAGCCAAAUUAGCCUGGGCCCACACAAAUAAAUUAUUGGGCGUAGCCCAAUUCUUUUUACAGGCCCAACAAACUAAAUGGCCCAACAAUUAAAAAAACUAGGCAGAAACCCUAGUGUAGCAAGGGUUUGGCGCCGCAGCAAGCCCCCAAACGCACCCAGCAGCCCCACGUCGCGCCCGACGUCUCCAGCAAGCAUCCAGUCGCCGCAGGACUCGGAGAUCGGCCUCCCCACGCGCGUCGUUUGCUCCAGGAACUCCUGCAAUCGCGGACUCAAAGAAUCCGAAGGAGAAAAACAAGCAAAGAAACAAUAUCAUCGAUUUAUUUUCUUUUUUUCUUUUCGGCCUAUAAAAGGCCACUUUUAAUCUGUAAAAAGGGGCACUGAAACAGAGAAAUACAAAAGAAAGUAUUGAGGAAUACAAAGAUUUCUUUCGAAGGUGAAUCGAGUUUCAGAUUUUCUUUUUUUUUUUCUUUUUUUUUCUGCUUAUUUGUUAAAAAAUAUAUUCAAGAGGGUGAGUGGCUUACCUUCGAAGCUCCGCCGAUGAAACCCCUGCUCGCUGCGUCCAAAUUGGAAGUCCGGCGGAGGGUUGAGGCUUGAGGCAGUCGCGCGUUGCGGCGGCGGCGGCGCAAAAGAGGGCUAGGGCCGAAACCCUAGCAGAGGAAAAGGGGCCAACCCUUUCUUUUUUAUUUUAUUUUAUUUUUUUAUUCUAUAGCAAACUUUGUUUUUUUUUACAUUUUUGUGUUUAAGUGAUAUUAUCAAAAUGGCACCGUUUUCAUUAAAGCAGACCCGCGCGGUGACCCGACCCGAAGGGGAGGAUCCGCGCGUUCUUGCUUUUGAUGGUACAAUUGUGCAUUUAGCCCCUGCCAUUUGCGAUGCGUUUCAAUUAAACAUGUUUUGUUUUUUAAAUUGAGCCGCAAAUUUUAGUUUUAUUUCAAUUUGGGCCCAUCACUGCGCAGCGUUUUGGAAGGACGGGAUAAUUUCCUUUUUAGGUCCUCCACUGUUACGCAUUCAAGUGACCCCUUUUUUUUUAAAAAAUUAUUUUAAAUUCGCCCCAUUUUUUCGUUUUUAACUCAAUUUGAUCUUUUUUUUGUUUUUAUCAUGACUAUGCUAUAUCAUUUUUUUUUAUUUUAUCUUAUUUAUUGUUAUUAUUAAUAUUAUUAUUACUAUUGUUAUUUCAUUCAUACAUACGCCAAUUUUAAUCUACAUGCCUAUUUAAUACAUAUAUGUUUUUUUCAUGAACACAUACAUUCAUACAUUUUUUUUAAACUUGUGUUUCACGGUUUUUCAGUUUUUUUUAACCUUCUCAUACUUUAUACUCCAUAUAUAUACUUAUACAGUUUUAAAAUAGAUACAUAUAUAUACGUACAUAUUUUAAUUCUUACAUACACCUAUUUUAUGCAUUUUUAUAUGUAUAUGUUAUGUUUUCAUAAUUUCUAUAAAUAAAUAUGUAUAUAUAUGUGUGUGUAUAUGCCUACAUUUUAUGAUUCAUAUGCAUUUUAUUUUAUAUAUACAUGUUCUUAGGAAUUAUUAUAAAUUUUGUUUUUUUAUUUUACACUUAUAUAUGUGCAUUAACGUAUGUACAUUUUUUUUUAAUUUUUUUUACGAUUUUCAUAUUCACCCAUACAUGCAUUUUUAUAUAUAUUGCAUUCCAUCUUUUUAUAUGUAUUAUCGUAUGUAUUGGAAUUAAUUAUGUAAAUAUGUAUGAUAGUUUUUGUGUAUAUCUAUUUUCUUUUAAUUAGGAGAUUAGAUGCUAAAGUUUAGGAGAUAAUAUUUUGUUUUAAUUAGGAGAUUAGAUGCUAAGUUUAAGAGAUAAUAUUUUGGUUUCUAUCUUUGUAUUUUACUGUGUAUAUAUGUUCUUGAUUUUGGGAGGAAUAAAACACAGAGAAAAUUCCCACAAUUCUUGUUAUUUUUUCAUGGUAUCAUGAGCAGGUUUUGAAUGUGGCGAGAAUUGUACUUGUCAACUAUCAGCCGAGUUGGAAAAGCGACGAGAAGAGGAAAAAGUUCACCACUUCCUGAUGGGAUUGGAUGGGACAUAUAGCACGGUUAGAUCCAACAUCUUGGCUAACGAUCCGUUGCCAUCCUUGAGCAAGGCUUAUUCGAUGGUUAUUCAGGAAGAACGAGUGAAGACCAUAUCUCGUGAGAUGGAAGAUCGCUCCGAUGUGAUGGCUAUGGCGGUGCAAAGUCGAGGCCGUGGAGAAAGUAAGGAGAAAGGGGGGGUUUGUUCCCAUUGCAAACAACCCGGACAUGAUAUUGAUAAUUGUUUUGCUAUUAUUGGUUAUCCUGAAUGGUGGGGAGAUCGACCCCGAGGAACUAUGAAGGGUGGAAGCCGUGGCAAGAAUUUAGGCCAACGUCAAUCAAACAGUCGAGGACGAGGGGGGCAGCGAGCUAAUGCUGUCCGGACCCACACAGGGGGAGUAUCGUCUUCAAAUGCUAACACUGAUGAUACUAAAGCAAACACUUUGCCUGGGCUUAGCAACGAACAGUGGCAAGUUUUGCUCCAAACCUUAAAGGGUAUGAGAUCAACUACGACUGAGAAGAUGACGGGUAAGAAAUUGUCUUGGAUUAUUGACACAGGAGCGUCAAAUCAUAUGACGGGUAAUCUAAAAUUUUUACAUAAUAUUCAUAAAAUUCCUAAUUGUCCCGUUGGGUUACCGGAUGGGAGUGAAUCUGUGGCUACUUUGAAAGGAUCUGUUGCUCUUGGAGGAGAUUUAUUGUUGCGAAAUGUUCUAUUUGUGCCGAAUUUGACAUGCAAUCUUAUCUCUGUGUCACAACUUAUGGAAAAUGCUUCUUGCUUUAUCCAGUUCACUAAAAAAUUAUGUGUUAUACAGGACCGUACCUCGAGGAUGCUGAUUGAGCGGGUGAACAAAGGGNNNNNNNNNNNNNNNNNNNNNNNNNNNNNNNNNNNNNNNNNNNNNNNNNNNNNNNNNNNNNNNNNNNNNNNNNNNNNNNNNNNNNNNNNNNNNNNNNNNNNNNNNNNNNNNNNNNNNNNNNNNNNNNNNNNNNNNNAGAUAGUAGGGAUGAGAUUUUGAAUAAAUGUUGUGAUGUGUGCCUUCGAGCAAAACAAACUAGAGAAGUUUUUUCUUUAAGUGAACAUCGUGCAGUUGAUAUUUUUGAAUUAAUACAUUGUGAUUUAUGGGGUCCUUAUAAUACUUUGUCUACUUGUGGAGCAUCAUAUUUUCUGACAAUAGUUGAUGAUUUUUCAAGGAGUGUGUGGAUUUUCUUGAUCAACAAUAAAUCUGAAGUACCUUCAAUGUUUAAAAAUUUCUUCACUAUGAUCAAACGACAAUUUGAUAAACAAGUAAAUAUGUACGUAGUGACAACGAGAAAGAAUUUACUUGCAUGAAGAAUUAUUUUGUGGAACAUGGUAUUAUUUUCCAAUCUUCAUGUACCGGCACUCCACAACAAAAUGGGAGAGUCGAAAGAAAGCAUAGGCACAUCUUAAAUGUUGCGCGUGCUCUUAGAUUUCAAGGAUCGCUUCCUAUCAAGUUCUGGGGUGAGUGCAUUUUGACUGCAGGUUACCUAAUUAAUCGAACUCCUUGUUCGGGUUUAAAUGGAAAGACGCCAUAUGAGGCUCUCUAUGGUCGACAACCAGAUUUUGGUCACCUAAGAAUAUUUGGAUCUUUGUGUUACGCUCACUGUAAGACUAGGGAUAAGUUUGCCAGCCGAAGUAGAAAAUGUGUGUUCAUGGGUUAUCCUUAUGGGAAGAAAGGUUGGCGUUUAUAUGACUUAAAAAAACUAGAAUUCUUUGUCUCUAGAGAUGUUGUUUUCUUUGAAGAUUAAUUUCCUUUUGCUACAGCUUUUGCAAGUCAGUCCAUGAUCGACACAAUUGCACUCCCUCAAAGUGAAGGACUUGACGAGGCAUGGAAUGAGGUAGUGGUUUCAAAUGAUAGUCAAGCUACUGAUGUAGAUGAGCAGCAGGCUGAAAAUGAAAGUAGCGAAAUUGAUACUCGAAGUGGUGAAGAAGAGUUGGGACGUGGACGGCGUUUAAAGUAGUCUUCAGUUCGGCUGCGGGACUUUGUCAUACACACCAUUCAGAGGAAAAGUCCNNNNNNNNNNNNNNNNNNNNNNNNNNNNNNNNNNNNNNNNNNNNNNNNNNNNNNNNNNNNNNNNNNNNNNNNNNNNNNNNNNNNNNNNNNNNNNNNNNNNNNNNNNNNNNNNNNNNNAGAACGAGAGCCGAAAUCUUAUUCUGAAGCUGCUAGAAGCAAAGAAUGGCGUGAUGCCAUGUCUAGUGAAAUCGAGGCUUUAGAAAAGCAAAGAACUUGGGAGAUUGAGGAUCUUCCGAAAGGGAAAAAGGCACUCGGAUGCAAAUGGGUGUAUAAAAUAAAACAUCACUCUGAUGGCUCCGUUGAACGAUUCAAAGCUCGUCUUGUGAUUCUUGGUAAUCAUCAAGUGGCUGGAAUUGACUACACUGACACAUUUGCACCGGUUGCAAAGAUGGUUACUGUUCGGGUUUUUCUUGCUAUUGCAGCAGCCAAGCAAUGGGAAUUACAUCAAAUGGAUGUACAUAAUGCUUUUCUACAUGGGGAUCUUCAGGAGGAAGUUUAUAUGACGAUACCACCCGGAUAUCGAGUAACACAACCGGUAAAAGUGUGUAAGCUUCGGAAAUCUCUCUAUGGGCUCAAGCAAGCGCCAAGAUGCUGGUUUGCCAAGCUUUCGACAGCCUUAAAAGAUUAUGGAUUCAAACAAUCGCAUUCGGAUUACUCACUUUUUACCUUGCAAAGAGAUACAUCUCAAGUCAAUGUUCUCGUCUAUGUUGAUGAUUUGAUUAUCUCAGGUAAUAAUCAUGAAGCUAUUGAGUCUUUUAAAUCUUAUCUCAGUGAUUGUUUUCAUAUGAAUGAUUUAGGACCCUUAAAAUAUUUUCUUGGGGUGGAAGUUGCGCGUUCUCCAAAGGGGAUUGUUUUGANNNNNNNNNNNNNNNNNNNNNNNNNNNNNNNNNNNNNNNNNNNNNNNNNNNNNNNNNNNNNNNNNNNNNNNNNNNNNNNNNNNNNNNNNNNNNNNNNNNNCGGAAGUUGGACUUUUAGGAGCCAAACCAUCAAGUAUUCCUAUUGAGCAGAAUCAUAAGUUAGCUCUUGCUACAGGUUCUUUUUUAAAUGAUCCAGAACCGUAUCGUCGUUUGGUUGGACGACUUAUUUAUUUAUGCUUCACAAGACCGGAGCUUGCAUACAGUGUUCAUAUUUUAUCUCAAUUCAUGCAACAACCACGCAUUGAUCAUUGGAAUACAGCGCUUCGAGUUGUUCGUUUCUUGAAAGGAACUCCGGGUCAAUGAGUGUUUUUGAGUAGCAAAAGUGAUCUGCGGUUGCACGGUUGGUGCGAUGCGGAUUGGGCCGGUUGUCCGUUGACAAGACGAUCACUCACAGGAUGGUUGAUUUUCUUGGGUACUUCUCCGGUAUCUUGGAAGACAAAGAAACAACACACGGUGUCUCGAUCCUCCGCAGAAGCCGAAUAUCGAUCCAUGGCUGUGACCACAUGUGAGCUCAAAUGGUUAAAGGGAUUAUUAGGUAGUCUUGGAGUCUCUCAUCCGCACUCAAUAACGCUUGCUUGUGAUAGUCAAGCUGCUCUUCAUAUAUAUCACAAUCCGGUCUUCCAUGAGCGUACCAAACAUAUCGAGGUGGAUUGUCAUUUUGUUCGGGAUGAAAUUCUCCACGGCAAUGUGAAACCUACCUAUGUUCCAACAACGUCACAACUUGCGGAUAUAUUUACCAAGGCUCUUGGUCAGACAUCUUUGCGUUCUGUCCUUUGCAAGUUGGGCAUCCGUGAUCUUCAUGCUCCAACUUGAGGGGGGUAUUGGAAUUAAUUAUGUAAAUAUGUAUGGUAGUUUUUGUGUAUAUCUAUUUUCUUUUAAUUAGGAGAUUAGAUGCUAAAGUUUAGGAGAUAAUAUUUUGUUUUAAUUAGGAGAUUAGAUGCUAAGUUUAAGAGAUAAUAUUUUGGUUUCUAUCUUUGUAUUUUACUGUGUAUAUAUGUUCUUGAUUUUGGGAGGAAUAAAACACAGAGAAAAUUCCCACAAUUCUUGUUAUUUUUUCAGUAUGUGUGUUAAAUAUAUGCGUACACAUAUUUUCAAAUUUACUUGUAUAUUGUACUUGUAUAUGUAUAUUUGUAAAUAUUUAUUCAUAUAUGUUUUAAAUUAAAGUAUUUGUAUCAUAUCGAACACUAACUUUUCAACAUACCCUUUUGAAAAUAUAUUUUGGUUUUAACCAUAUAUCAAAGUUAUUUUCUUGAUUCAAAGGUUUUUUUUUUUGAAUAAAAGCAUUAUUGGAAGUUUGGGAUUUUCGAGGGAAAUUGAGCCCUAACGUAUUGGGUUCUGAUUUUCUUUGUCAAUCUUAAAUGACCGAGAAUAUUCUUUAUUCAAAAUCAUGAGCAUAAAAAUUAUUUUUGGGAACUUAACUUGUCGUGCCCUAACGUAUUGGGUGUGGCAUGUUAUUUUCUCGAAAUGAAGAUUUUCGCAUAAAAUAAAAGUGAUAUUCAAAGUUCGGGGAUUAUGAGGAAUUGUACCCUAACGUAUUGGGACUCGAUUUCUUUACAUGACUUGAACAAUUGAUUAUCCUUUUUCAAAUUUCAUCGAUUUUAAAAUCUUUUUAACCUUCGACACUAAGACAUUAAAUGAUCAAUUUGGUACCGAUUUUGGGCGUUACGAGGGUGCCAACCCUUCCUCGUGCGUAACUGACUUCCGAACUCGUUUUCUCAAAGUUCGUAGACCAACAUAAUUCUUAAGGUGAGCCGAUCACACCUUAAUAAAGGAUCGGUGGCGACUCCAAUUUUAUUUUUAAAAAGUUGACAAUUAAAUUUUUUGUUUUCAAAAAACGAUUUCGACAAUGAUUAUAGUGAAAUAAAAUGAUAUGGUGAUGUAUAAAAAUGGAAUGAUGAUAUACAAAAAAUAAAUAUGCCGUGCUAGUAAAUGACAAUAAUAUAAAUAUAAUAAUAAAACCAAAUCAUAAUAAUAAUGGCGAUAAUCAUGUUAUAUUUACUACUCUAAUACUAAUAUAAAAAAUCAAAGAAAAAUAAAUAAUAACAAUAAUAAUAGUAACAAAAUGUGCAAAUAAAAGAAUAAAGAACAAUAUAAAUUUUAAAUACAAAAAGAGUAAGUAAAUAAAUAAAUAAAUACAUAAAUAAAUAAAUUUCAUGAAAGAUUGAAAUUAAAUAAACCAAUGAUUGAAUCAGAAUUAAAAUGACAUUAAAAGUAUAAAUUGUGAUAAAAUAAGUACAUAAAAGACUAAAAUGAAAAACGCGAAAACAAACAAGGACCAAAUGAGCAAUUAUCCUAAUCCUCAGGACACACGUCUUUUCUCCAAAAGAUCAACAAACCGAGAACCUAAUUGUAAGCGGGAUAAAAUUGAAUGGUAUAAUUUCUAAAAAGAAAGAAUAGUGAAAUUAGGACUAAAUUAAAACAACUCAAAAGGCGGAAGGACUAAAAUUGUAAAUAUCCCCACAAAAAAAAUGCGGAUCCUAGGAGUAUUCGGGUCGGGUCGGGUCGUCGGAUCCUGUCUCAAAACGAUGCCGGUUUUGGGCGUUUAAGGCUUGGAUGAAACAACACUAUUUCACUAGGUCUAUUUAAGUUAAGAUUUUUUUUAAAAAAAAAUCAUUUUAGCCCCCAGUAAAAAAAAUCCGAAAACCCUUUUUUUUUUUGAAGUAGUUUCUGAGUCCGCCACUGGUCCGGCAAGCCCCCAUGAUGGCCACCUGUCGCCGGCGACAGGCUCUGUCGUUCCCGGUGGCCAGAAAACACAAAACAACUCCCAUUUUGAGUGUUUUAGCUCCUAGAAACCAGAUCUGGAGUUGGUGUUUCCUAAAACUCGACAAAAAAUAAAAUAAAUAAAAAAUAAUAGGAGAAGUCCCUUCGGUAUAUCCGCCGUUUCACUGAAGGGAGCUGUCUGUCAUUAGGGACAGUGUUCUCGUCUACUCGCAGCAGUGGAACACGAGUCGACACGGUGAGUUUCUGAUUUCUUUUUUCAUUUUAUGUUUUUUUUUAAAAAAAAACCAACUGAUAAAAAAAAAUCACCCUUGAAAUUUUUAGUAUUCUGGUUUUUGAUUUCUUCUCUAUGUGUUUUGAAAUUUUUAGUAUUUUGGUUUCUGAUUGCUUCUCUGUGUGUUUUGAAAUUUUUUUGUAUUUCUCCGUCUAAAAUAUAAUCUAUUGUCAUGGCUUUUAUAGCCAUAUAUUACACUGUUUAUUAUUUUUUCUGCUUUGCUACUAUUUCUGUUACUUAUUGUCCUUUCGUUCUUUCUGUUUUUACAGGUGACGGUGGAGUCAACGACGAGGAGAGACUCCUGCCUUUGCCAUUUUGGUGCAAUGGCGACAGGGGCGCGUCAGAUCUCAGGACGAAAAGCCUCAGGCAACGUGCAUGCGAAGGGGGGUGCAACGGUAGAAACUGGUUUAAGUUUUUGGGCCAUUGGGCCCUCUUUUUUUUGUGUUUGGGCUUUGUAAUUGGGCCAGUUUGUAAAUAGACCGUUGUUUAUUUAGUUUGGUUUUAUUAUUGGCCGAGGCAAAAUUGAGCUCCUAUAUAUAUAUAUAUAUUUACACACUAAUAAAUGGUUUUAUGCAUAUAUUGAUGCCUUUCGAAUAUGUGUUAUUGUCAUAUUAUUUUUAAUAUACUGUUUUAAUUAUUUAUCUAUUUUAUUUUCUUUCGAAAUCUUAAUUAAUUUCUUAUUUUCAAUAGUUUGUUUGUCUAAUUCAAUCAAAAGGAAAUUUGUAUUUUCAUGUAUUUUUUGUGUCGUGAUUCAAUUCAUGAGAUAAUAUUUGAUUUGAGUGACAUGAAGUAUUCAUGUAAAUUUUAAUUUUAAUAAGGCUUUUUUUUAUAAAAUUAACCCUAAAAAAUUAAUUAAUUACUUAAAUGACCUAUUUUUUUAAUAAAAUACGUAAAUAACUUAAAAUCUAUAGUAAAAGUUAGCAGAACUAAAGUGUAUGGCGCCACCAACAUGCCACAUCAGCAAUUACUGAACAUCGUAAAUAUUUUGGGAAUCGAAAUAGCCAUUUUGCCAAUUUCAUCGAGAUAAACAAGACGCAUUCUAUCAUAACUCAUUCCUACCAAGAAAAAAGUGCAGCACCGAUAAAGCUAUGAGAUAUUAUUUGUAAAAUAGCUCCGUUGAGUCCUGAUUAUAAAAUAAAUAAUAAUUUUUUUAAAAAAAAAUAAACAAAUAAAGACAAACAAAUAAAAAAAACUAGAAUAAAGACUAAAGGUUGGCUCCACCAAAAAAAGGAAAAUUUAUUUAAAGCCCUCCCAUUUUUUCAAAAAUUGUAGUAUUUCUUUAGUAUUUAUACAAGUGACGCUAUUUUAUAUAGCUCCACCAAAAGAUUGAUUUUUUUAUCCCAAUUGCGACGUGGCAUGUUAGUGGCGCCAAAUAUUUUGACUCCACAAACUUUUACUGUAAAUUUUAACUUAUUUAUGUAUUUUAUCAAAAAAACAAAUCAUUUACAUAGUUAAUUUUUUAGGGUUAAUUUUGGGUUUUUUACUAAAAUAAUAAUAAAAAAUAAAAAAAACCAAAAUAGUAGGCUAAUUUACCAAAAAAAAGCCUAUUUUUUUUAAAAAUUACCGAAAUGGGCCGAUUUUUUAAUUAUUUACCGGAACGGGCCAUUUUCCGCGAAAUCGCGGCCACGUCAGCGCGAUGUCAGGGUACGUGACAGGACAUCGCGUCCACGUCAGCGCGACCUGCUGACGUGGACGCGAUGUGGACGCGCGCGUGAACAGUGUCCAACGAUCAAAAAAUUGACCGUUGGCCCCCCCCAACGGUCAAAUUUUUUUUUACUAUAUAAACCCCCACCCCUUUUAUUUUCACAAACAAAUUCAAUAUUAAUUUCCUUCAAAAAUUCUCUCAAAUUCCUUCCAAAAUUCUCUCAAACUCUCAAAUUCCUUCCAAAAUCCUCUCAAAUUCCUUCAAAAAAUCUCCAAAUCCAUAUUAAAUUUCUUUUUCCAUUAAAUUUCAUUAUUUUAAGAAAAUUUUAUAAUUUUUUAUUUUUUUAAAAUAAUUUUAAAAUUUUUAAUAUUUUCAACAAUGGCCGGAUCAUUGAUUCAUCUUGAUAAGAAUCACAUAUCGGUGGAGCAAAUGAACAUGGUAAGUAUUAAAUUUAAAUUUUAAAUUUUAUUUAAGAUAUUUUUAUUUAUGUAUUUUUAGAUAUUUAUUAAUUUAUUUUUUGUUAUAAAAGGCUGAAGAUCGGGUAUUGGAAUGCAAUAUUCGGAAUAUGCAUGCUCCUCCAUCACCGUUAGUAGAGAACUACCUGCGGGAAGCGGGAUUUUGACACGUGGCGACGGUAGGCCGGGGAUGCAAGUUGGAGCCGAAACUGAUCAGUGCGUUGAUCGAGAGGUGGAGACCUGAGACGCACACAUUUCAUCUUCUAUGUAGAGAGUGCACUAUCACUCUAGAAGAUGUCCUUCUGUAUUUGGGAUUGCCGGUGGACGGCCACACAGUGACCGGGUCUGCCCAAUCUAGCAAUUGGAAGGCGGUGUGCUACAAGCUUUUGGGCGUCGUUCCGAAUAAAAUGGAUGGAUGUAAAGUGGAGAUGGGCUGGUUAUGUGCCACCUUCCCCGAUCUGAAUGAAAAUUCAACCGAAAUUGAAAGAAUCUGAUAUGUUCGAUCAUACAUUCUUCAAAUAAUUGGAGGCUAUCUCAUGGCCGACACGUCACAGAGCCGUGUACAUCUAAGGUGGCUGCUAAAACUCGUUGAUUUUAGAGCAGCCGGUGAAUUUAGUUAGGGGUCUGCCGUCUUGGCAACAUUAUAUCGGGAGAUGUGCAAGGCGACCAAACCGAGGAGAGCAAAAAUUGGAGGAUGCCUGUCACUACUGCAAUCAUGGGCACGGUUUCGCUUUCCAUUUCUACGUCCUCGAGUGAACCACCCAUAUACAUUCCCACUCGUAACGAGAUAAAUUUUAUAUUACAUUUUGAAAUUGUUAUGUAGAUUUUGUAAGAAUAAAAGUAUGCUAAAAAUUUAUUUAAUUAGGUGGAACCAUCCGGCGAGUUAUCGUGGAUUACCGUCUGAACUUGAAGAUAUACGGCUUCUAUUGGACCAACGGUCGGAAGCAGAAGUAAGUAUUAUUGCAAAUAGAUAUUUCCAUACAUUCGCUAGUGGAUUGAUAUUUAGUAUUUACUAUUUAGUAUUACGUAUAUAAGUAAUAUUUCUAUCAUGUUCAUGUAGUUUCAAUGGACACCAUACGAGGAUCCGGCAAUCCGGGCAGUAAUCCUGGAAGAGUUUUUACAAAAUCCGGACACUUGGCAUGUGAAAGUGGUGUUGAUCAACUAUGCAACUGUGGAGCCCCACCAGACAGACAGAGUCCUACGACAGUUUGGAUGUAGACAACCGAUCCCUGUGGACCCUGACCUGAGGUGUUUGACGAGCACCACAAAAUUGACCUUCGGCUAUUAGUAACGGAUUGGCCUAGAUACUGGUCAGAGUACACGGAAAUGUGGGAAAAUCGGCAUGAAUAUCUACCUACUCGGGAACAAAUCAUCGUUCCCGAGUUAGCGUGCGUUCCAGAAUACAUGCCAUGGUUUAGGAUCCAUGGGAAGCCGUAUUUACUUACGCCAGAGGAGAGGCAGCGGCAAAUACGUGUCAGAAGGGAAAGGCGCGGGCCUCUAAAUCCAAGGGGACAAGACUACGAGGGCAGCCCAUCAACGAGGCCUAGACAUUCACCCGGCUCAUCAUCAGUGGCCAUGCAAUCACCGUCCCCAACGAAAGCACCGACGCAGUCACCUGACGCAGCAAUUCAACAGAUGAUACCCACGCAAUCGCCUUUCCCUAUGAUGCCAGUAUGUUUCCUAGCCCUUAUAUGUACCCUAACCCGUACAUGUAUCCUUUUCCGAAUCCUAUGGCAGGUUGGAGCCAAAUGCCCAGAUCAGCUCCAUUUCCUGUAACGCCGAGCGGACCACCGAUAACUAGGCCAUCCGUGCAGGAGGGGUCGCAAGGGGGGCCGUCGGGGAGCUCUCAUUUUUACCAAUCGCCAGCAACGCAUGGCUUUCAAACUUCGUCGCCGUUCAUGAUGCAAACACCUCCACAUACACUAUUCUUUGAAGGUAAAUCAUCGUCUCAAGUCCGACAAGCAGAUGCCGAACCGGAAGAACAACAAUCACCACCCGAGGAAGAACAACCGCCGCCGGAAGCUAGAGGAAAGAGGAAUCCAGCGCGUAACCGUCGACGGCCGCCAUGUGGAACCGAAUCCCCCGGUCAUAUACAUUGAUUACCGUAUUAAAAUUUAUCAUUUGAUGUAAUGAAAUAGAAGUUUAUGACGAUGUAAUACACAUAGAAAUUUUUCCGAGUUAUUUUGACAUUAUUUGAUUAAAAACCGUAACUCUAACCUAAUUUAAUUAAAAACCCUAACUUAACUUAAUUAAAAACCCUAACCUAACUUAAUUUAAUUAAAAACUCUAACUUAACUUAAUAAAAACCCUAACAUAACUUAAUUUAAUUAAAAACCCUAACCCUAACCUAAUUUAAUUAAAAAUCGUAACCUAACUUAAUUAAAAACCCUAACCUAACUUAAUUUAAUUAAAAACCCUAACCUAAUUUAAUUAAAAACCCUAACCUAACUUAAUUAAAAACCCUAACCUAAUUUAAUUUAAUUAAAAACCCUAAUUUCAUCUGGGACCGGUGGGAAAACGUGUCUCCAAACGUUGUACAUGUUUUCUAAUUUGUACACUUCGUCCACAUAACUUAGCGGAUCCAGACGGAGUUUCUGACAGGCUACAAUAACAUGAGCGCAUGGAUAACGAAGUGCAUCGAACUUCCCACAGUCACAAGUCCUGUUUCGCAAGUGUACACGAUAUUGCCCGCCAACAACACCUUGGUGCGGUAUGUCGAACUCCGUCACGUAAAACUAUAAAUUGUCUCGAUCGUGACACACAGCGUGCAUGAUGUUUGCCCUCGCCUUCACUUUGUUAAUUUCUUGAACUACCUUACUGCACCAUACAUGCCCACCCUGCAUCUGGCCUGCAUAAGUUGCUGCUCGCUUUGGAAAUAGCGCCGCCAAACGGAAAUAUGUCUCUCGCACAACCACUGUUAUCGGUAGAUGGCGCGUUCCUUUAAGAACAGAAUUUAUGCAUUCUGCCAGGUUCGACGUCAUAUGGUCAUAUCGUAGGCCUCCGUCGUAUGCUUGUGCCCACUGUUCGAAACGUAUGUUGCAAAGGUAGUCCUCCCCUUCUCCGUUUUGGGAUAGCAAGAUUGCCAACAUCUCGUGAAAACGAUCUUUAUUCAUUUCAUACCCUACCAAUAUAAGAACAUAGUGAAUAUUUUAUACCGCUUCUACCAAUAAAACUAAUUCAAUUUGACAAACGAAAUAAGUCCGAGGAUCUGCUUUUAUCGUGGGCAGUAUCAAGCUAGCCAACAUAGCUGAAUCCAUUUUCGGAUGAUCUUCUGAAACACCUACAGAGGGAGGGAGUACAUUAAAUAAUGCAACAUUGGAAAAUAAAAAUAUUAUUCAGACACAUUCAAUAAUGUACCUGCAGCACAUGUAUGUGGACCUUUGUACUUUUUGAUCUCUCACAACCAUGUCCUCUUCCUUAACGAGGCGACGAUUUUCCAUGAACAUGUGCCGUCUUGCACCGCACACUUCGCCUCAAACUUAUCAGAUUUUGAUUUAACGACGUGGUAAUUAACGCCGUUUUUGAUGCUAUGCUGUUUCAAAGCACCAAUAAAACUAUCCUUAUUGGUAAACUGAUUACCAACUUCAAGUUCACCGAGAUCUACCCCCGAACUUGUACGAUCGCGCACUCGGUGUGGCAGAUCUGGAAACUCUAACGCAUCAUCAUUUGACAGAUCGACAUUAUGCAUGUGGGCUGGAGGUGAGUAUGCUCUGAAUCGUGGAUUUUCUUCAUCAUCUGCACUCCUAUCACCAUCUUCACCUUCUGUUGGAAUAGGCUCCGGUUCAGAAAAUAAUCCCACCUCUGUACCAUCCGGCCCGGGCUCUCGAGGUGGAUCCACAUCGGAGUCACCUUCUAACCCACAAUCAUCUGCAGCGUACGAUGUCCCCUCACCGGUUGAUGUCGUAGGUAGUACGUCAUCCCUUCUUCUGGCAUUUGAUAACGUCCCCAAUUGGAUGUAGAUUGCCAUCCGGUAGAACUUGAUGCAGUUCCCCAGCUCGUAUUUCCAGCGUCAAACGUCGAGCCACCGACGUAUAUGUCCCAUCCACCGACAGAGUGUCUUGGGGGGAUGUGCAUUCGACACCGCUACCGAACAUGGGCUGUUCUGUAUUUUGUAACACGCUAAUUGAGUGUCGGCCAGGCGGUCGUGUAUACAUUCUCGAACACCAGACGGAANNNNNNNNNNNNNNNNNNNNNNNNNNNNNNNNNNNNNNNNNNNNNNNNNNNNNNNNNNNNNNNNNNNNNNNNNNNNNNNNNNNNNNNNNNNNNNNNNNNNCUCUAAGCUACGAGCACAUUUUAUGUCGAACGAGUCAUAUGUCACCGGAUCAACAGAAGAACAAAAUCGAUACGUCAUUGACAGAACUUUCAUUGGCGUCGUUCCGAAGAUUUUACGCCUAAUUCUUUUACGGAGUUCUGUCAAAUCUAUGUUUUGGCUAAAUGACAGUCGCACCGUAUUCUCCGAAAAAAAACAACACCAUUCUCGGUGUGGCAAACCUCACCAUUGUAGUAAAUAACAGCACUAAUACGUUCACUCAUUUUGAAAAUCUAAGUUUCUUAGCCUCUCUAAAAUGUUUCUGCUGUGAGUUAUGCAUUCUAAGAACAUUUUCUGCCUAAUUUAUAGCCUCAGCCCAAAUUUGCUACUGUAGCAAAAUCGCGUCCACGAGGGCGCGAUUUGACACUAUUUGCUCAGAAACGUCAAAACAAAAUUAUUUCCCACAUGACCAAUUGUAGCGAAAUCGCGUCCACGAGGGCGCGAUUUCACAAUUUCUUCUCAUAUAGCAUCCUGGUAUCAGCGAUUUUAUACUAUUUGCUCAGAAAACGUCAAAAAAAUUAUUUCUUACAUGACCACUGUAGCGAAAUCGCGUCCACGAGGCCACGAUUUCACAAUUUCUUCUCAAAUAGCAUCUUGGUAGAAGCGAUUUCCCACUAUUUGACCAGAUACGUCAACUCGAAAAAAAUUUUCCGAGACCCCUAACCCCUAAAAAGCCUGCACCCUAAACCCUAAAAGUCAGAAAACCCAAAUGUAAAAUCAGCGUCAAAAUCGCGUCCCCAGAACCGCGCUACGUGGCAGGACAUCGCGUCCACGUGGCCGCGAUUUCACGGAAAAUGGACCAUUCCGGUAAAUAAUUAAAAAAUCGGCCCAUUUCCGUAAUUUUUUAAAAAAUGGACUUUUUUUGGUAAAUUGGCCAAAAUAGUAUAACUUUUUUUAUUUACAGAAAUGGUACAAAAAAAAAACAGUAGUGGAGGGAUUGCCACAGGCGGCACCAAUGGUGCCAGUGGCAGAGGCGGCACCAAUGGUACCAGUGGCAGAGGCGGCACCCCCCAUUUAUUCGUAUUUUUCUUAUUUUCAAAUUUUUUAUAAAAAUAGUAUUAAAAAUAAAAUACCGAAAAAAUAUGUUUAUGAAAAAAAUAAAAUACGAAAAGAAAUAAAAUACGAAAAUAGUAUAUUUACUGAAAGUAAUAAAAUCUGAAAAUAAGAAAAAUACGAAAAAGGGCCAAAAUAAGGGUUUUUUUACGAAAUUUAUAUAAAAAAACACACUAAAUUAAUACAUUUCUCAUUGUUUGUAUGCUUCAAUUGGAUAUUUUUCUUUUAAUAUUUUGAUUAUAUUUUUGUUUUUAAUAUGAUAUUUAGAAUUAUCCAAUUCAUAAAUAAAAAAAUAAUGUAUUUCAGCACACUUAAAUCUAUGUAUUUAUAAAUAACAAUACUCUUAUAAAAUGAAUUAAGACUAAAUCAUUAAUUGUGUACUUAAAUACAAUAACGGUUUGUGAAAUGGAAAAUAAAUUUUGACAUUCAUUCACGUAGAUUUUAGAGUAAUAUUUUGAUGUGGAUUUAAUGUAUUAUUAGUGAAUAUUUUAUACCUAAUAAGAAACUUAACAGGUAACAAUAAUGUAGAUGUAAAUUUAUUUUGCCACAAACAACGCAACUUUUUUCUAGGAUAUUUCUUUUUUUUUUACCAGAAAGCUAUUUUUACCUAGAGGUGCCCAAAGGCCGGGCGAUCCAUCCGAAAUAUAGGAGGGUUCGGGUAACAAUAUAGGCCCGAAAUAUGGGCUUGGGGAAAAAAAGAGGUCCGUUUAGAAAACGGGCCGGACCUCGGGCAAAAAUUUUUUAGCCCGGGCCCGGCCCAAAAAUAUAUUAAAUAUAUAUUUUUUAUUUUUAAAAUAUACUAGUAUUAGUUUUAUUUUAGUUUUAAGUUACAAAAUGUUAGAUUUUGUUACAAUAAUUAAUACAAUUAACAAUUAAUAAGUUGAUAUAAUUUGAUAAUUUUACUAACAGUUAAUACAAUUAACAAUUAAUAAUUUUACUAACAAAAUUUUAGAUUUUACAAAAUGUUGACUGGUACAAAAAAAAAUUGAUACAACUUUAAUAACAAUUAAUUUUGAUAACAAUUAAUUUUAAUAACAAUUAGUUUUAAUUUUAAUAAAAAUAUAAUUUUAAUUUUAAUUAAAAAAGGGCCGGGCUGGGCUCAGAUUCCAUAUUUUUUCCCAGGUCGGGCCUGGACAAAAUCUUAAACCCAUAUUUCGAGCCAGGCGAGCCCAUGCCUAAAAAACGGGCUAAAUUUUUUAAGCCCGACCUGGCCCGGCUCAUGGACACAUCUAUUUCCACCUAAACACAACCUUUUUCUAGGAUACUUUUUUUUUUUCCAGAAAGCCAUUUACACCUAAACCUACCUAACAGUGACAAGCUGAUGUUGAAAACUCUUAUUUUUUACCAGAAAGCCAUUUACACCUAAACCUACCUAAUAAUGACAAGCUUUCAUUCAAAUAAAUAAUAAUUUUUUUUAAAAAAAAUAAACAACUUACGACAUAUUUUAAUAUUUAAUUUUAAAAAUUCGACAAAGACGAAAAUACUUUAGCAAAUAAAAUAAUCUGAUAAUAAGUACAAUAAUUGGAGUUGGAACUGCACAUAGAAUUGUAUGCUUCCUUAUGAUUGACCAUUUCUCAUUGUUUGUAUGCUUCAAUUGGAAUAUUUUGAUUAUAUUUUUAUUUUUAAUACAAUAUUUAGAAUUAUCCAAUUCAUAAAUAAAAAAAUAAUAUAUUUCAGCGCAUUUAAAUUUACGUAUUUAUAAAUAUCAAUACUCUUAUCAAAUAAAUUAAGACUAAAUCGUAUUUAAAUACAAUAACGAUUUGUGAAAUGGAAAAUAAAUUUUGACAUUCAUUCACUCUAGAUUUUAGAGUAAUAUUUUAUACAUAAUAAGAAACUUAAGAUGUAAAUUUAUUUUGCCACAAACAACAAAUAACACAACUUUUUUCUAGGAUACUUCUUUUUUUCUUUUACCAGAAAGCCAUUUCCACGUAAACCUAAUAAUGACAAGCUGAUGUUGAAAACUCUUCAAUGAACCGAGUGAAUUCAUUCAAAUAAUUGUUGCUUAAAUCUUCAUUGCCAAAAAUCUCUCUCAUUGCCCACGCGUUUGCCCUAAACACCUCACCUUCUGGUUCCACCAUCACCCGCCUAAUGGUUGCAGCCACCAAGUCGCUUGUAAACGAACUGUCCACUUCAUUUCUCUCGAUUUCUAACCCAACCUUCUUGCCAUGCAACAACCUAGCGUUCAACCCUAGAUCCGAACUUGCUCCAGAAAACAAGAUCAAAGCUCGACCGUACUUGAGUGCCUCGAUUAUGGAACUCCAACCACAGUGAGUCAAGAAACCCCCAACAGAAGAGUGGGCUAAUAUCCGCAACUGAGGUGCCCAAUCCCUCAACACUAAGCCCCUGCUAGACACUCGUUUUUCGAACCCUGGAGGAAUUAUGUCAUUCAUCUGCCCUUCACCCACCGGACGGUUCCUUACCACCCAAAUGAAGGGCAAGUUGGAUUUCUCUAUCCCAAAUGCCAAUUGGUGCAUGGACUCUUCACUUAGAUUCACUUCACUACCAAGAGCAAUAUAGAGAACCGAUUUCUCUCCUUCGCUGUCAAGCCAGCUUUUUAUAGCUUCCCAUUUGUUAUCCUCGUUUGAUGGCAGUGAUAAUAACGGAGGCAACAGGCCUACAGGAACCACAGGUUUCUGGUAAAGCUUGAUAAGCAAUUUAAUCUCGUCCCGUGCGAACUCGAAGCAGGUGCGCAUGGUUACAAAUUGGCAACCUUGAAUCAGUCGUCCCAUCCGUUGGAAAUCAGACACGUCGUCAUCCAUGCACUGUUGGUGGUUCACCAUCUCAUGUAGCUUGAAAGCUAUGUUGUUGCAAGGAUAAUCUAUCCACUCAGGG